rnacentral:lncRNA from 12 species
GUGUGCAGAGGGGUGUGCAGAGGGGUGUGCAGAGGGGUGUGCAGAGGGGUGUGCAGAGGGGUGUGCAGAGGGGUUGGGGAUGGAGCCGGAGCCGGAGCCGGACCGCCCGUCCGCAGAGGAACGGAGAGUUCCCACCCUCGUCCUUACGCAACCCCCGCCUGUUUAUUUGGGCACCGGGCCGGGGAGAGGAUUUGUCCCUUCCAAUUGGGAGGAGAGGGGCAUUAACUAUUUCCUCCCCACCUUCUGCACGCCCUUUCCCCGCUCUGUGCCUGCCCGGAGCCCCCCUCACACUCAGCAUCCCCCAGCCCCAUCCUGGCACCUCCGGGGCUGUUCAGACCCGGUCUGAGCUCUGUCCGUGCCAGCAGCGAGGCUGUUUCUCAUCACACCCUUCCCCCAGCAGCUCCCAGCGCUGGCAAACAAAAACCUGAUCUGUUUUACCCCGGAAAGCAGCAGCUUGGACACCCGGGGCUGAGCAGGUCACACAAAUGCACUCGGUGGGGUGAGUGCCCCUGAGCCAGGGCAGCCUCGGGCACAAGCCCAGGGCUCUGUGGCUUGUCAGGGGCAGGAGCUGGAGCCGGGGGGAGCUCAGACUUGGCUCAGGGUCCACCUGCAGCCCUGGAUGCUCUGGACAGGACGGGCAGCACGGGCUGGGGUCACAGCUUGAGCUGCGGGCACUCAGAGCCCUUGGCUCAGACUGAGCAGAGCCCCAGCACUCAGUGCACGCACAGAACGUCAUUCCAGACACGGGAAUUGACUGGGAAGGAUGCUGCAGCCUCGGGAGCUGGCAGGAUGUCCAGAGGCAUCACCACCCUCUGGAAAUGCUGGCUGGCACACCCCGCAGGGUGGCACAGGGACAGGCAGGAGGGCAGGUGGCACAGGGCCAGGCAGGAGGGCAGGUGGCACAGGACAGGCAGGAGGCAGGGUGGCACAGGGACAGCAGAGGGGCAGGGUGGCACAGGGACAGGCAGGAGGGCAGGUGGCACAGGGACAGCAGAGAGGCAGGGUGGUACAGGACAGCCAGGAGGGCAGGUGGCACAGGACAGGCAGGAGGGCAGGUGGCACAGGGACAGCAGAGGGGCAGGGUGGCACAGGACAGCCAGGAGGGCAGGUGGCACAGGACAGGCAGGAGGGCAGGUGGCACAGGGACAGCAGAGGGGCAGGGUGGCACAGGACAGCCAGGAGGGCAGGUGGCACAGGACAGGCAGGAGGGCAGGUGGCACAGGGACAGCAGAGGGGCAGGGUGGCACAGGACAGCCAGGAGGGCAGGUGGCACAGGACAGGCAGGAGGGCAGGUGGCACAGGGACAGCAGAGGGGCAGGGUGGCACAGGACAGCCAGGAGGGCAGGUGGCACAGGACAGGCAGGAGGGCAGGUGGCACAGGGACAGCAGAGGGGCAGGGUGGCACAGGACAGCCAGGAGGGCAGGUGGCACAGGACAGGCAGGAGGGCAGGUGGCACAGGGACAGCAGAGGGGCAGGGUGGCACAGGACAGCCAGGAGGGCAGGUGGCACAGGACAGGCAGGAGGGCAGGUGGCACAGGGACAGCAGAGGGGCAGGGUGGCACAGGACAGCCAGGAGGGCAGGUGGCACAGGACAGGCAGGAGGGCAGGUGGCACAGGGACAGCAGAGGGGCAGGGUGGCACAGGGACAGCAGAGCAGACAGGGUGGCACAGGGACAGCAGAGGGGCAGGGUGGCACAGGGACAGGCAGGAGGGCAGGUGGCACAGGGCCAGGCAGGAUGCUGGCAGCAGCAGCCAGAGGUGCUGAGCUGGUAACACCAUCCUGCACCCGAAACCCGAUAAAGGACAGGGGGAGGUUUGCAACACGUGGGAUUAACAAGGUCAGCUCAAGAUUUUCUCAGGGUGAAAAUCAAAGGGGAAAAUAUUUGCCUUGUGUGACUCAGUGAGUUCCUGAGCAGCCACCUGAGUUCCUGAGCUCACCCAGGCCUGUGGCCACUGCUGAGGAGCCAAACCUGAGCCCCCCUGCCCACAGUGCCCUGUUUAACAACCAGAGACUUCCCAGCAGCUCUGCUGUCCCUGCAGGUUUCCAUUCGCCCACUGAAAUGACAAAAAUCAGUAAAAUCCCACCUUGGUGCUGGUCACCAAACAGGGACCAUCCCAACCCUCUUGCACAAGAUCUGCCCUCGGUAUUUGAGGAAUUAGCAGCCCACACUCAGCCUAAAUCCCUGAUUCCCAGUUUGCUUCGGUGUUCUGAGGUUCAGCUGUCCCUGAGAGCUCCUCACCCCCCUCAUCUCUGAAAGCCCAGCGUGUGCCCCGUGUCACCUGGGGGAUCCAGCCCUGCUGAGCCCCAGCCGCUCCCAGGGGUGGCAGCAGGGAUGGACAGGCUGGAUUUCCAUCACAGAUCCCCCGUGCGGGGCUGGCAGAGAGCUGCCCCUUCCUGAGACACGUCCCAGGCACGGGCAGCAGUGCCCAAGAAUCAUAGAAUCGAUAAUUUAGGUUGGAAAACCCUCUGAGAUCAUCAAGCCCAAGCCCACCAUGGAAUCAUGUCCCUGAAUGUUCAC